CUGCCCCCGCACCUCUUGUCAGUUUCUGUCUGCUUCUCUUUCUUCACCGAUGUGUAGAACAAACUCGGCCACCCAAUGAAUAUUUCAUCCUCUUCACUAUUUUACUGCGCAGUGUGUGUAACACACACACACACGCAGCGCUGUGUCUGUUGGAAAUAUUUAGCCAUCGCGCGCGUUCCUGUAUAUGUACACCGUAAGGAGAGAUAAUUUGAUUUGAUCAAAUAAGACGAACAACAAAUUGAAAGGAGGAAGACCUCCUGUCGUGUUUUACAGACGUAAAGAUGGCCAAGGGGAACGUCGACUAUUCGAAUGCUCGUUACAACAAGGAGGGCACGUGAACGUGAUUGGCUAUUCGUAUAUCGAUGAUCCUACCGGUGAAUCGUUCGUUUAUUUUUUUUCGAUAUUUUUCUUGAAAAUGCUCUCUCUGUUUUACGAAAUUCUUUUCAGUAUAGAAAGAAGCAAAGACAAGCUGACAGUGCGGAAGAACGAUCGCGCAUUUUUUUCGCUAUUUCCAAAAGAAAAGAGGUGUUAUCAAAUAAAUAACUGCAUACCGUUACUCACGGUGAAUACAAUCAACGAAUGGGACAUAUGUACACAAAACGAUAAAUAAGAGAGAUUCAAUAUUACUGGCAUCUCAUCAUCACCAUCUUCUUUCCUUGGCAGAGAGAAGAGGCUUGCAGGCCUCUUUUCGAAUAAAUAUAAAUAUACACCAAACGUGCUUGAGAUAAUGAAGCGAACGCCGUGUGCUGUGCGCGGAAUCGGGAACGGCCAGAGAAAAAGAACCGCCAUUGCCAGGAAGAAAUCAACCAGCCAUAGAGCUGGAUGGAAGCAUGUCCUUAAAAAGAUGGAAUUAAAAAAAAAAAAAAAAAGAAAAAAAACUAAAAACAGUAGGGGGUCUCUUCAUUUUAAUAUUCUUGGUCCAACCCCCCCGCUGACUUUGAAAAAAAAAAAAAGUCUCAAAGCCAAAAGAAAAACAGGUACAAGAUUUGGAAACGAUGGGGGGAAGAAAGAAAGAAAAAAAAAAGGAAGAAAAACAUGGAACAUUAUGCAUCGCUUCUUUCUUAUAUCAAAUAUUAUGCAUUAUAUAUACGUAUACAUUUGAUAUUAUUCUGUGGUGUAUUAUAUAUGUAUAAGUGCAAGAAGAGGUCGUUGAUGCCACUCGAACGCACGUAUAGAUGUACGUUAAAAAGCAAAUGAAACAGAGAAAAAUAGAUAACCGAAUCAAUGUCUUUA